rnacentral:rRNA from 1 species
AUGCAUCGCCCAGAUGCAGAGGUCGGGGGUCAUCCUCCUUUUCUAGAAAACCCUCUUAAGGUCAAGAGUUCAAAUAAGAUCGAGGAUGUCGAGGCUAAAAUGCGUGAUCACGAUCUAGACAUGCAGGGUCUUAUCUUUGCUGGCAAGAAGCUGGUGCAUGGCGGCACCCUGGCAGAUUACAACAUUAAGAAUCUGAGCACCCUACAGCUUGUCCUUCACAUGCGUAUAUUUGUCAAGACGCGGACUGGCAAUAUCAUUGAUCUUGCGGUUAAGAGUUCAGAUACCAUCAAGCAUGUGAAGGCGAUGAUUCAGAGUCAGGAGGACGUUCCUUGGGAUGAGCAGGGUCUCAUCUUUACGGGCAAGCGGCUGAAGGAUGGCCGCACCCUUACAGAUUACAACAUUGAGACUUUCUGCACCUUUGAGCUUGUCCCUUUCCCUUUCCUGCAUCUGAAAGUCAAGCAGCUGACCGGCGAGAUCAUUGAUCUUGCGGUUUUGAGUUCAGAUACUAUCAAGGAUGUCAAGGCGAUGGUUUAUGAUCAGGUGGGCAUUCCUUCGUACAUGCAGCGCCUCAUCUAUGCCGGCAAGCAGCUCGAGAAUCACCGUACCCUGUCGGACUGCAAUAUUCAUAAGUUGUGGGAGUGCGGGCUUCUCCUUGUCCCGUACAUCGCAAGGAAUAGUGCGAUUCACAUCAAGAUGCUGACUGGCAAGACCAUUUUUCCUGCCGUUAGCAUUAGAGACACGAUUAAGGAUGUCAAAGCGAAUAUUCACAAGGAGGAGGGGAUUCCCCCAUCCCAACAGUGUCUCUUCUUUUCCGGGAAGCCACUACUGCACAAUGACUGCACCCUGGGGAGCUACAUCAGCGGGGAUUUGAACGUCAUCGUCAUUCACCUUCUGUAUCGGCGAGCGCUGCAACCUCGUCGGAUUGUGGACAGAGCGCGCAGGCUGCGGAACAAGCAGGAACUUGUGCACGGCUGUGCGUAA